rnacentral:lncRNA from 1 species
GAAUGAUGACCCUACUGCAAAUGAAUCUAAGUGAUGACUGGCUGAGUCAAGCAUCAGCUUCCAUGCAGCUAGAUUUUCGCAACAAGAACUGGAUUUGAAAUAUCAGUGAUCAAAUAGAGGUUUCUAUACCUAUAAGAUAUAUUUAAGACGUUUCUACACCUAUCAGAUAUAUUUAAGAGGUUUCUACAUCUAUUAGAUAUAUUUCUUCUAGUAAACUUUGACCAUUAUUUCGUUCGUUGGGUGUGUUGUCAUGCCAAGGCAGUGGAGAGUUGAAGCUGAAACUCGUCCCCUGUCGAUUCAUUUAUCGU